UAAUACGUAGGGGGCAAGCGUUGUCCGGAUUUAUUGGGCGUAAAGCGCACGCAGGCGGUCUUUUACGUUCCCAGUGACAGUGCGUAGCUUAACUGCGCAAGGUCUGGGAAAACGGAGAGACUUGAGGACCAGAGAGGGACAUAGAAUUCCGGGUGGAGUGGUGAAAUGCGUAGAUAUCCGGAGGAAUACCAAAGGCGAAGGCAGUGUCCUGGCUGGUAACUGACGCUCAGGUGCGAAAGCUAGGGGAGCGAACAGGAUUAGAUACCCUGGUAGUCCUAGCCGUAAACGAUGACCACAAGGUGUGCGGAGUAUCGACCCUCUGCGUGCCGACGCUUACGCAAUUAGUGGUCCGCCUGGGGAGUACGGUCGCAAGAUUA
rnacentral:rRNA from 1 species